rnacentral:tRNA from 1 species
UUGGAUGUAGCUCAGGGGUAGAGCGCUUGCCUAGCAUGCACGAGGCCCUGGGUUUGAACCCCAGCAUUGCAA